rnacentral:lncRNA from 1 species
CAACCAAGGAUCGUGGUGGUCAACCAGGAGUUGUGGUGGUCAACCAAGAGUUGUGGUCAACCAAGGAUCAUGGUGCUCAACCAAGAGUUGUGGUGGUCAACCAAGAGUUGUGGUCAACCAGGAGUUGUGGUGGUCAACCAAGAGUCCUGGAGAUCAACCAAGGAUCAUGGUGGUCAACCAGGAAU